CUCGCCCUCUUCCAGCUGUGUGGUCCUCCGUCUGAAGACACAGCAGGAUAAACAGCCUCGUACCCACACAUAAGACCUACAACCCAGCCAGCCCCAAGACUGGUAAGAGACAGACGUGCCAUUUACUUACUCUACCUGUUCCUGCAACCCAGCCAGCCCCCAAACUGACUCUCCUGGCAUCCUGACCUGGAACACUGCCUCACCUGGAUCUGUGGGGUUCUCCAGACUCCACGUACCUGUAGAUGUAUCCUCUGUACAC